rnacentral:lncRNA from 1 species
AAAUCUUCAUUUUUAUGCCGCACCAAAUCUUAAUGGGAUUAGGAUUAAAAUUCAGCACCAUGAAAGAGUCCAAUUGGACUAGGACUCCAAUUAAAAGACAUCUAAUCUAAAUAAAUUGGGCUCCAAAUUAGAUUUGGAUUCUUAUUUAUUUGAGUCUAAUCUAGUCCUAAUAUGAUUAGUAUUAAUUGAUAUUUUAAUUAGAUUUAAAAUAGUAAUUUAAAUAAGAGUCCCAUAUGAUUAAAACUCUUCCCUUUCUUGCACCAAAAAAGACUCCACACCACCUUCUAUUUGUGCGCCACAAAUAACCCACGCCACAACUUCUUCUUGAUGCCAACUUCUCCCCUUUUAUGCAUGCAAGAAUGAAGGUUUUUCUCCCUUAUUCAAUGUGUAAAAGCUGGGUGAUAUUUGAGUUGGUGGGCGGCACAAAAAGAAUAGAGUCCUAAGUUGUUAGGACUCUUGAUUCCUAUCCUAUUUCGAACUCAUCUCUUGGCCUAUAAAUAACCACCACUUGGGAUGUGUAAGAGAGGAUUUUAGAUCAUGUUUUGAUGCCCAUAAUUAGAAUAGAAGGUGUGAAAAAAAAGAGAAGAAAAGGAGGGGAGCGUACGGUAAGAAAGGAUGGGGCGUGAGGUAUGCUUAUCCCUUCUUUCUUACACAACUAAUUGUUAGUUGUUAGGACAUCCCUCUCUCCCUCUUGUCCAUGUUUAAAUAUAGUUGUCUUCUCUUUCCUUUAUCCAAAAGUUGGACAAAAUUUCUACAUCUUUAUUGUAGAGAUUUGGUACAUGAAUUUUAGAAAGAAAAGAGAAGAAAUGGUUCUUCUCAUAA